AAGAAGCACCGGCUAACUACGUGCCAGCAGCCGCGGUAAUACGUAGGGUGCGAGCGUUAAUCGGAAUUACUGGGCGUAAAGCGUGCGCAGGCGGCUUUUUAAGUCAGAUGUGAAAUCCCCGGGCUUAACCUGGGAACUGCAUUUGGAACUGGAAGGCUAGAGUGUAGCAGAGGGGGGUAGAAUUCCACGUGUAGCGGUGAAAUGCGUAGAGAUGUGGAGGAAUACCGAUGGCGAAGGCAGCCCCCUGGGCUAACACUGACGCUCAUGCACGAAAGCGUGGGGAGCAA
rnacentral:rRNA from 1 species